UACAUGCAUUACGAGUCUGACUUUAAUGUCGGCACCAACCGGUUCAGAAUAACGGUGGGUCUAUCAAUGCGAUUAGUUCAAUUCUAAUAAAAUUCUGAUUAUGA
rnacentral:ncRNA from 2 species